UGAGGAAUAUUGGUCAAUGGGCGCAAGCCUGAACCAGCCAUGCCGCGUGCAGGAUGACGGUCCUAUGGAUUGUAAACUGCUUUUGUACAGGAAGAAACACUCCGACGUGUCGGAGCUUGACGGUACUGUAAGAAUAAGGAUCGGCUAACUCCGUGCCAGCAGCCGCGGUAAUACGGAGGAUCCAAGCGUUAUCCGGAAUCAUUGGGUUUAAAGGGUCCGUAGGCGGUUUGGUAAGUCAGUGGUGAAAGCCCAUCGCUCAACGGUGGAACGGCCAUUGAUACUGCCAGACUUGAAUUAUUAGGAAGUAACUAGAAUAUGUAGUGUAGCGGUGAAAUGCUUAGAGAUUACAUGGAAUACCAAUUGCGAAGGCAGGUUACUACUAAUGGAUUGACGCUGAUGGACGAAAGCGUGGGUAGCGAACA
rnacentral:rRNA from 1 species